UGGUUAACCAAACACCUUUCCCAGUUUGCCAAAUUGCCAUAUCUCUCUCUUUCUCUCUGAAUCAAUAAAGCCAUGGCUUUACUUGCAGCAGAGCUUCUUCUUCUUCUUUCACCACUGGGUUCGAUACGGGUGAGACUCAUUGACUCACUGAGAAGCUGAAGAUGAUGAUGCGGAAUAUAGCUGCUUCUGCUUCUUUUUGUUGCAGCAGCAGGAGAUGGAGAGUGGCAGAAAUCUUGGCACUGCUAAUUUGGCCCCUGAAGCAAUCCACCAUUGAUUUUCUCAACGACCCAGAUGUUGGCAACUGGUGGCAAACCCACUGAACGAGUGAGUCCACAUCCCCAGCAAAAUCAAGCAUGUUCCCAAGCAGCAAUUCUGGAAACACAAUUUUCUUUGUGCUGGUCACCACAAUUGAUGCUUGCAGAACAUUUUAUAUGAAGUUUUACCGCUGGAGAAGAACGUGUUCCACAGCACAGAGCAAAUGUGGCAUUAGGAUCCAUGGACUCGAGACCAUAGAGUUGCCGAACA